rnacentral:misc_RNA from 1 species
UUGGAGGGCAAGUCUGGUGCUAGCAGCCGCAGUAAUUCCAGCUCCAAUAGUGUAUAUUAAAGUUGUUGCAGUUAAAAAGCUCGUAGUUGAAUUUCAGGGUUCCACCGUUGGUCAGGCAAUAGUCUGUACUGGCGUGUGGAAUUUCUACCUUCUGGGGAACCAUCAUGUUAUUUAUUUAGCGUGGUGGGAAACCAGGACCUUUAUCUUGAAAAAAUUAGAGUGUUCAAAGCAGGCUUACGUCUGAAUACAUUAGCAUGGAAUAAUAAAAUAGGACAGUGGUCCUGUUUUGUUAGUUUCUGAAUCACCGUAAUGAUUAAUAGGGAUAGUUGGG